rnacentral:lncRNA from 1 species
GCCACGCUGCUUCUCCACAUUGCUUGAAUGCAGAACCCCGGAGUUGGAAGAGGAGGCACACAAACCUAACGGCUCUUCCCUGGGUUUGCAUCUCCUGACCCCAGCUGUGUCAGGUAGGCUACGGAGUGUGGGGUGGGAGAUGGGGAGGGCACUGCCCCGGGGCCAGCAGGCUGCUGAGUGUGGGGUUGGAGGACAGGUGGCUGGUUUGGACUUGGAUCUGAGGACUCACGGUUUCGGAGAUGAGUGCGGCGGGGGGAGGCUGAGGUGUGCAAUCUCCCAAAGGGCCCGGUAUUCCUGGGGCACGCCCGAUCGCGUGCCCCUUCGGCACUAUUUUAGCACUGGGGAAUGGCACACCUCACCAGGGGGAGGGUGGUGAUGUGAACAGCACCAGUGGUGUACUCACGUCCCCCGAUUGGCACCUUUUAGCUCUCCGCCGCCCAGCUCGGUGGCGCGGGAAAGGCACGGAGCCUACCUCCUCCUGUCACGGGGACACCCCCGCCCCGCCAUCCAGGCACGUGUCGGCCCGGUGGUAGACGAGCCUUCUCGCUGACAGGCAGCAUCCAGAGCUGCUGCCCACCAUCGAGCGACUCUCCACCACAACCCCUGCUUCUGGGCCCCAGACUCUCCCUGCCCCAACUGGGGCAGGGCAGUCUCCUGCCAUGACGGCCGUGAGGGUCUCUUGCCAAAAGGGCCACGCAGAAGCCCAGGUUUCCUGUCCUCCAGAUGGCUCGAGAUGUCCAGAACUCCCCCGCCGCAGGCAGAAGAAGGUUUUAUAGACGGCCCAGACCCUCCAUCUCUGCAAACUGUACGGACGGCACGGACCCUCCAUCGCUCAGACCGUCUAAAUGGUGGAGACCUUCCAUCCCCUCGACCACAAAGGCGACCUCGACGGUCUUGGGGGAGUUGGGCCCACGGCUUCUCAGCCAGGCCACUCUCCUCUCCCUGCCCGGGCCCGGUGUCAUCAUCACCGUGAGCGGAGGCAGCGGGAGCGGCACCGUCAGGUCCCCGGCCCCGCCCGGGGCCCGCUGGGCACGGGGUCCCGGUCGGUCCCGGGCCGUGGGGCCCCGCGCCGGGCCGAAGGUCCCGGGCCCCGCGGUUCUCAGCCCGGGGCUUUGCCCGCAUCUCAUCCUCGGCCUGGACCCUCCUUGCCUAACCCCGCGGCCCGUGCCCCAUCUUCGAUGCCCAGAGAGACCACGUGGAGGGCCUGUGGGGUCAGGAGGUAGUGACCUCCUCGGCCCUCUAGCAGGGCCCGACCAACUUUCCCCUACUUUGGGUUUCAGUGUCAUUAGCAGACACAUGGGAGCCCUCCAGUGGCCAGAGCAUCGCCUCUCGCCUCCUGGCCAGUAACCGCCACCGAAGGAGCGCACCGCCGGCCCGGCCCCACCCCGGUCACCUCCGCCCACCCCACCACCACAGGCCGGCCCUCCCGCCUCUCCUCACCUUCUGGGGCCCAGAAGACCCUGGGUCCCUCAGGUACACUCGCCCUCCAGGGACGCAUUUAGGAGCAGCGUGGCCUAGCGGAAAGGAGGCACCGGACCCGGGUUCUAAUCCCAGCUCUGCCACCUGUCUGCAGCGUGACCUUGGGCGAGGCACGUAACUCUUCUGGGCCUCAGUUCCCUCAUCUGUAAAAUGAGGAUUAAGACCGUGAGCCCUACGGGGGGCAGGGGCUGUGUUCAGACUGAUUAGCUUAUAUCUACCCCAGGGGCUUAGUGCAGCGUCUGGUGCAUAGUAAGCGCUUAACAAAUACCACUUAAGAAAAACGGAGUCCCAGAGGUGUCUCACCGAGAUGCCCCCAUCCCAGACAGCCCUCGCUCCAGCUCCGGGCACUGCCAGGCUCCCAACCUCCUCACCGUGUCCGGAGGAGCAACUUUACACUCUUCCUGCCGGGACCAGACUCCCUCGGCCCAAGCCCGGCUCCCCUCGGCCGCUCCCUUGCCGGGUCGGAGCCAUGAUCUCACCCCGACUAGCCUCCCAGCCCGGUCCCUCCCCGUCCUCCGAGGCGGCUCGUUCCCGGACCCCAGGCCAGGGUCCGGUUCCCUGCCCCGGCCGCCAGUUCCCCACCCAGCGAAGUCCCCGGCGUAGCGACUGCCGGACGAAUCUCAGGCCCACCGGCCCAGCGGCCGCCAGAGGGAAGAAAGGGAGCGGGAGCCACUCGGAAAGCCAGACCCUGGUCUGAGAAGCAGCGGAGGGACCCGAGCCUUCCUGGCGAGGCCUCCCCCGGGCCCUGGCUCGGAAGGGAGCCCCGUGUCGCAGCUGCCUGGGUCCCCCCGGCCCGGCCAGAUCUCCACUCUCCGGCUCUCUGAGGCGGCCACCCAGGAAUGCGGUUCUCCAGCUGACGCAGAUUUCUAGAAUGGACACGGGGAGAAGAUGCGAUUUCCUUUACAGUUUCUCUCCCCUUAAGGCCGAGGAAUGUGGGCUCCACCUCAGUCGCUUCUCUUCCACCUGGGCGGCUGGGUUGGCCUGGCAGUCACCCCAGCCGUCCCCUCUGUCCCCCCGAAGCGGAUCAGGUCGCACCCCGACUCUGGCCUGGCUGCGGCCCCACCCAUUCCUCUCCAGUCACCCCAAGGAACCAACCGCAAAGCCCCUCUGCUCCUUCAUCGCCCCCGACCCGAGCAUCUCCUGCCCGCAGAGCGCUGUCCGGGAGAACACCAACACGUGAUCCCUGCCCUCGAGGAGCUUACGGUCUCGGGGAGCAGGUGGGGAGACAAGCAGGUACAAAUGGAUGACUAUUCAAUACAGAAGAUUAAGACAGCUAUAAAUGUUAAACUCAAGGGGACAAAUAAAGCAGUCACAAAGAGAUAAUAUUCUGUUAUUGCUGCUCCGGCAGAGGGGAGGACGUAGGCUGGAGGGAGGGAGUCGGGGUGGACUGGAGGCUGGGAGAGCCCAGGGGUGUAGGCGGGGUGGGCUUCCCGGAGGCCAACGGGGCCCCAGCCGGGAAGAGGCCGCACGGCCCUCCAGGGGCCUCGGUGCUCAACACCGUUUCCACCCUGAAGGACGGGGGAUCCAAGGUCUACUCAGCCCCCACAGGUGCGGCCGGUCUCCUCCUCUUCACGAAGGCCCAAAUCCGGGUCUCGGAGAGCGUCCCCGCAGCGGCGACGUGGAGGAAACCCGCCAUGGGACAUGUGAGGGGGAGGCUCGCUCCUGGCUGGGCUGCCGGGGAGAUUCCUCACUGGGGCAAGAUCCACCUCCUUGGGGUCUCUUCCACAGCUCCCCGGGGUUUUGAGGGGAGGAAGGGGGGCAGUCACCGAACAAGUCCAAUGGCCUCCGGACCCUGCCGGCCAGUCCCUGAGAGACCAGCUCCUCCUGCUCCCACCUGCCCACCCCACACCUGCUGGGGGGGGGGGGGCGGGGAGGCCCUGGGGAAGGAGACUAAAGGGAGGGGGGCACCCGGCAGGAGCCGCUCCCACCCCUCCCUGCCUCCGGGGCUCCUGCCAGCCGCCGCUUCCCCUGGGGAAAAGGGUGACUAACCAGGGGCCCCGGCUUAGAGAGGGAAGGGCCGGGAGAGGGAAGGGUUCCUAAAAACCGCACGGCGUGAGCACAGGUCUCCCGGGGGGCCAUCCUGCCCCCGCUUCUGCGUCAGGGCACCUGGAGAAACCCUAGAUGCCCACCUUUGGGGUCGGGGAUGGGCCCUUCCAUCCCUGCCGGUUGGGGCAGUUGGAGAAACUGGGGACGGCCACCUUCGGGGUCAAGGAAGCUCCCUCUCCCAGCUGGGGGCAGGUAGCUGCCGAGCGCCCACAGGUGAAGUGCCCGAUGCCAGGGGGCCUCUCUCAAGGAACCCCAGCUGGGGGGGGGGGGGUGUCCCUCUUCGGGGAGCCUGGGGUCGGGGUCCCGCCUCCCCUCCGGUCCUCCUGGGGGGGCUCGUCGUCCCGGGGCCCCCAGAAGAGAGGCGGGGGGCGGUGAAGGGAAGCCCCUUCACGGUUGCGGGGUCAGCCGGGCGGGCCUCCCUCGGCUCCGGGAAAACUCCCGCCUUCGGGCCGGUGGGAUCUGGG